AGGGCUAUAGCUCAGUUAGGUAGAGCAACUCGUUUAGAAGGUCUACGGUUCGAGUCCGUAUAGCCCUA
rnacentral:tRNA from 1 species